UAAUUUAUGCAAUGAAGAUUGAAUAAACCGCCGGUGCAAUGGUUGUUAAUUAAAUGCGACUAUGCGAGUGUGAUGAUGCGCAGAUCCUGGGAAUGAGAUUAUCAUUUGCCAGAGGUGCUUCGUUCUAAGUUUCAGUCUUCCAGCUGCUUUAGUAAGUAGGCGUUCUUUUGCAAAGUACGCUUUGUUUUUAGUAAUAAUUUAAGAUUUAAUUAACAACGCACCCAAGUACGAAUAGUCCUUCUUAGACUUAAUAGUCUUUUACACUAGAUAUUGCUGACGAACUUACAGAAACAGGCUUGUUUAUGCAAACAGAGGUCUCAUACAAUACACAAUGAGUUUGCUUCAUAGAUUUUCUUGUUACUGUCGGUUCUUUCCGUUUGUGCAUUAACGGUUCAUAAAUAAUUUAUUCGAAGACAACACCACCUGCAGAAUAUUAAACGCCAUAACUAAGCAACAAAAUACAAUUUCUAAUAUCGAAGUAGUCCGUUGGAAAUGUAUUUUGCGUUUCGAGUUGAGAUUGAUCGUGUUUUAAGAUGAGUCUUCAUGUCUACAACAGACUUUAUUCAUGACGGAUUAUAAUCUUAAAAUAUAAAUGAGUACAGAAAAUGAAGAUGAAAGGUACAGGAGACGUCGAAAGGGAAACAGCCUUCAUUUAAGGAGAGGUUUUAGGAUUUUACUGUCACCGCGCAAUCCUAAUGAAGAUUUUCACAAGUUAUUUCCUCAAGUUCCAGAGAAUGAAACACCAAUAAAUGAUUAUUCCUGCGCUCUGAGUCGAGACAUCUUGCUUCAAGGCCGAUUAUUUAUUUCUCAAAAUUGGCUCUGUUUCUAUUCAAAUAUUUUUGGUUACGAAACAACGGUCAAUUUGAAAUUAAGCGAAG